rnacentral:rRNA from 1 species
GACAUCUGACCUCAAAUCAGGUAGGACUACCCGCUGAACUUAAGCAUAUCAUAGA